ensembl:lncRNA
CAUAUAUGUGCUUAUGUCAAUUCUUUAUUAAAGAUUAACAUUUCUCUCCAGGUGCCGUGUGUUUCAAAUAAGCACUUAAAACAAGAAGCAAUCACUUAUAAGUACUUCACAUAGAUACCUUUGUGUGAGGUGUUUCCAAUGAAAGUAGAUUGUCUCCUGAUAUGUUUUUUAUUCUUCAUUAUAAUUCCAGCACACUGGGGAGCACCUAGACAACGAACGUACGUGGUGUCUGAAUCCGACACAACCUCUGGUGUGACACCCUACAGAACCUACACUGUGUCUGGAACGGACACAACCUCUGAUUCUUUUAAGCUUCCAUUCUUACCCCAUGGAACCAGUACACCUCGUGGUCCUGCUCCAGCUGCACACUGGGGAGCACCUAGACAACGAACGUACGUGGUGUCUGAAUCCGACACAACCUCUGGUGUGACACCCUACAGAACCUACACUGUGUCUGGAACGGACACAACCUCUGGUGUGA